rnacentral:rRNA from 1 species
GUGGUGUAGGUUGGUCAUGCCUCUGGUAUGUACUGGUCUCACUGAUUCCUCCUUCCUGAUGAGCCGUAAUGCCAUUAAUUUGGUGUUGCGAGGAAUCUGGACUGUUACUUUGAAAAAUUAGAGUGUUUAAAGCAGGCUAACGCUUGAAUACAUUAGCAUGGAAUAAUGAAAUAGGACGUUCGAUCCUAUUUUGUUGGUUUCUAGGAUUGACGUAAUGAUUAAUAGGGAUAGUUGGG